ensembl:snoRNA U3 Small nucleolar RNA U3
AAGACUAUACUUUGAGGGAUCAUUUCUAUAGUUUCUGACUUGAGAAAUGUGUUUCCACAAUGAUGAAAUGUGAUAUUUCUCACUGGGCGUGAAGCGGGCACAGAGAAGUGAUUCAGUUCACAAGCUUUCUGCCAUUGAUGACCGUUCUUUACUUCCUAGUGGAGUAAAGAGGUGGGGAGUAUGGACAGAGUGGU